CAGAAAAUCAGCUCUGUUACAUCUGCCGCCUCCUGUGAGCACAAGGCACAGAAAGUAGACCCUGUAACCCUCAGAGGGCCUGAAGGAAAGCGAUGCUGGUGUGACCUGCCCAAGAGGAUGGUGCCCAAGGCAGAGCAUUCUAGACCCUCAUAGGCAACAGAGCCACAUCAAUAUUAAUUUAAAGCUGCUGAAUAUCCUUGGAGAGCUAAUCAAGAAGGUAGAAGUUUUUCCACAUUAAUGUUGUCAAGUGACAGUAGAUUUAAGAUCUUUCCCUUUCAUUGCCAUCUGCUGGAUGACAAUCCUUUAUUCUGAUACAGUCAUCUUUACAAAUGACUAACCAAAGGUCUGUUUUGAAAGAUCAGCAGAAAUAGGAAUGGAAGUGAGGAUACAGAGAAUGCACAAACGGGAACCAUGUGAGGACAGUGAGAAGGUGGCCAUCUACAAGACGAGAUGAGAGGCCUCAGAAGAAAGAAACCAA
rnacentral:lncRNA from 1 species